ACAUGCUGAAUUAUAACUUAAGUUACAGCUAAAUUCCCUGCACAUGGUAAAAUGGAAAUCCCAUCACAGGGAUUAACAUCUUACCAUUACUGAGCAGAAUAAGAAUGAAAGGCAACAGUGUAAAUACUUCAUGUUAUGGAUUUGCCUCCGGGAGUGAGGGAGCUUCGGUCUGAGCAGCAUCAAGAGUGAAUCUGAGCACAGCUGUUCAAAUCUCACUGCACUUUCUCCAAUUACUAUUAACUCACAAGUUGCAGUUUUACAUUUUUUUCCUGUACUUCUACUCCUCCCAACCAUUUGCAAUGAGAAAA
rnacentral:lncRNA from 1 species